rnacentral:rRNA from 1 species
UCUGGUACUAUCAACCCUGUGCACUAUUAAUGCCCAGGUCUUACUCCCAGAUGACAGGAGUUUACAAUCCGAAGACCGUCAUCCUCCACGCGGCGUUGCACCAUCAGGGUUGCCCCCAUUGUGAAUUAUUCUC